GGAGAGGUGGCAGAGUGGUCGAAUGCACCGCACUCGAAAUGCGGCAUACCUGCAAGGGUAUCCCCACCCUCUCCGCCA
rnacentral:tRNA from 1 species